rnacentral:rRNA from 1 species
CAAUAGCGUAUAUUAAAGUUGUUGCAGUUAAAAGCUCGUAGUUGGAUUUCGGGAUGGGCCAGUCGGUCUGCCGUAAGGUAUGUUACUGGCUGGUCUGUCCUUCUUCGCAAAGACUGCGUGUGCCCUUAAUUGUGUGUGCGUAGGAUUUGCGACGUUACUUUGAAAAAUUAGAGUGUUUCAAGCAGGCACACGCCUUGAAUACAUUAGCAUGGAAUAAUAAGAUAGGACCUUGGUUCUAUUUUGUUGGUUUCUAGAGCUGAGGUAAUGAUUAAUAGGGAUAGUUGGGGCGAUUCGUAUUAACGCGUCAGAGGUGGAAUUCUUGGAUUGCGUUACGACGAACUACUGCGAAAGCAUUUGCCAGGGAUGUUUUCACUGAUCAAGAACGAAAGUUAGGGGAUCGAAGACGAUUAGAU